rnacentral:lncRNA from 1 species
GCAGGUUCCAAAGUGAGUCUGCCUCAAUUUGAUUUAGCCGAGGAGAGGUUGUUAGGGCUGUUAAGGGGURUAAAGGGCUGUUAAUGAAAGCGGUAUCAUGCCUUUAGGAUAUGAUUAACCACAGCAUACUUAUGCUGAUGGGAAGCUUCCAACUGGAUUUUAAUUGGUUUUAGUGUUCAGGGUAGAGGCUCUUCUAGGGAAUUCUAAGACAGAACUUCAUGGAAACAAAGUGGAUGUUUAGGGAAUGUCACAGACUAUAGCCCARUAAUGAGGUGCAAAUCAAGGAUGCGAAUGCCUAUAUGACUGGGAUUCAAAGAAUUUGGUGUGCUGGCUGAAUCAUCAGUUUCUCCCACAGUGAUGGCUAUCACAAUGCAGGUUUUCUGAACUAUUACAACACUGCCUCACAACCAAAGCAGAGUCCUCAGCUGGAGCAUACAGCUAGACUAAGGUAGGUAUAAUCAGUACCUGUGUUAGAAGAACUUGAGUAAUGC